rnacentral:lncRNA from 1 species
AUUAAUUAACUAAAAAUGUAGGUAAAAGUGUGUGACAAAACAAGAGUUGGUAAUGACUUUUGUACAACCUGUAGUUCACAUAUAUGAUAUAUGCAGAGAUUUUAAUAAAUUGGGUUGAAGGACUAUCUAUGAUUAUGAGAUUCUGUUCACAUAUUCCAUCAUUCCAUCCUUAAUUAAUUUCUUAGCCGCUGGAUUUUGUGUAGGGCUUAUUUCUUCAGAUUAAAUUUGUUCGUAGGGAUUUUAUUGUGUAUAGAUUUUUUUUCUGAUAAAUUUCUUCCAAUUUGCAGAUUUUACAUGUUGAACGAAGGAAUGCUCUUUCUUUGAUAUAAUUUGACCUGCUCAAAAUUCUUCUUUUAAUGGAAAUGGACACAAGAUAGAGGAAGCGGGAUAUUAUGUAUUGUUAUAUCUCUUAGUAUUGUUAUAUCUUAGUGUUUUAGAGGCAUCUUGGCUGUAUGUUGUAGUUUUUGUAUUGUUAUAUCUUAGUAUCACUGACGACCCUUGCAAGCGUAGUGAUAAUUUAGUCUUGGUUAUGUUUUGGAUUGAUUAUGUAUUUUUGGAUAAGUAGAUGGUAAUACUUAAAUAUAAAUAUAAAUAUAUUAUGUUCA